CAUGGACGCUGUCUCUUAACAAGUCACAAUCACCUUCUGGAAGCAAACGGUGCAGUUGUGUAGUUAGCAUCAUAUGUAAAACUGGUGAACUGAAAUUGGUAUCAUAAAAUUUUUAAAAUAGCGAAAACGAAGACGUUUAUAUUAUUGCUGAACCUAAUCCUGAUUAAUGAUUUCUGAAGAGAAAGGUCAUGGAGCAAUCUUGUGCAUCCAAUAACUUCCAGCGAUACAUUUAAGAUUGGCGAGCCUUAUGAAGCGUGGUGAUCAGGCUUUGCUUCCAGGUAUGAUGGAAGCUUAAUGGGCAAUAAACGAAAUCUCGGGGAGCAAAUUUCAUUAGGGGCCAUUGUUGAAGGAAAGCCACGACCGCAACAAAUUGGCUGACAAACAGUGUCGCUUCGCUGAGCAACGCUGGCCGGAAUGUACUUUCGUAUCUUCUAUCGCUUUGUGUAUAAAUUGCUACAGGUUUUAGUUUUAGUAGAUGUUUCUGAAACUUUCAAAAGGAAGGUUUUCUCAAUUCGUUUAUAUUUAUUAUUAUAAUCGUUACUUGAAUAUAUAGCCAAUUUUGAACAAAAUUUGUUUUUUUUUAUUACAAUAGGAUCUACGCAGUAGUAGAUCCUAUGUGACGAGUACUUUGUGACGAUUGAUAACGUCAUUUUUCUUUGCGGAGCAAAAAACUGUUUGUUGUGACGCUAAACCUACUUUAGUGUUUAUUAUUCCCGUAGCUUAUUUUGUUCUGAUAAUAUCUUUAUUUAUUACAGAACAUUUUA